GGACUACUGGGGUAUCUAAUCCCGUUUGCUCCCCUGGCUUUCGCGCCUCAGCGUCAGAAGAGAUCCAGCACGUCGCUUUCGCCACCGGCGUUCCUUCUGAUAUCAACGCAUUUCACCGCUCCACCAGAAGUUCCACAUGCCCCUACCUCCCUCUAGACCAGCGGUUUCCAAGGCACUUUUCCGGUUAAGCCGAAAGAUUUCACCCCGGACCCUCUGGCCCGCCUACGCGCCCUUUAAGCCCAGUGAUUCCGAACAACGUUUGGACGGUUCGUCUUACCGCGGCUGCUGGCAC
rnacentral:rRNA from 3 species